UUUCCUCAAUCAGUUCAUAAACAGUCUCACAUAAAAUCAUUUCUUCAAUCUUAUUUAACUCUUAUACACAAUGAUUUGACAAAUAUGUGUGUGGACUCCUAAUUAGUUCCGCCUUUUGGAUUACUUAUCAAACAUAUAUAUUCUUCUUUCAUUGCAGGCAAAGAAGGUCCGGUGACUCGGGACCUCCUAAAUCUCAUUUUGGAGGACAUGAAAUCAGGUCCAACCACGGUCAGAGUUCCCGUUCCUUAUUAACCUGAUCACACAUUUUUCUUCAGCUCAACGACAAAGUUUAAAGAUGGUGGCAGUGGACGACCUGCCAGUACAACAUUGUACUGGGUUUUCUCUGAAAAACUUUGAUUCAGUCAAGGUUGUUGUCCCAUGAAUUCUGUGUAAUAACACACUCGUGAAGAACUAUAUUUGCAUCAUGGAAUGCUAAAACCCCACUCGGCAUGAAAGAUUGUAUAUUUUGUAAGUAUUAGUAUCUCACACGAAGUUUGGUACACGAUAUUAAACACAAUUGGACAUUGUUAAGCCCUUGUUUGAGCUAAAUUAUUGGAAUGAAAAUGUAUUUUUAAAUAGUGUAUUGAUGGGAAAUGCGUGGCUAAGAAAUAAGGAAAAAUUUUAGAUUUACG
rnacentral:lncRNA from 1 species